AUGGCGCUCGUCCCAUACGCCGGAGGAUCAGGGAGCUCGGUGUCGCACCCGGUACCCGUGCUCACAGGGGUGAACUACACCACCUGGGCCAUCAAGGUGGAGGCCGACCUGGAUGCAGCCGGGCUCUGGGAGGCGGUGGUGCCGCCGGUGGACGCGGCCGCGGCGGUGAUCGCCAAGAAGGAUAAGCUGACGCGGGCUUACCUGCUGCGUGCGCUCGCCGACGACCUGUUGCUGCAGGUGGUUGCGAAGAAGACGGCGGCGGAGAUCUGGGCGAGUCUCAAGACUCGGUUCGUCGGAGCAGACCGGGUCAGGGCGGUGCGGCUGGCUACACUACGUGGCGAAUUCGAGCUCCUUCGCAUGACGGACGGCGAGACGCUGGACAACUACGCCUGGAGGAUCGGGGCCAUGGCGGCUCGCUACGCCGGGCUCGGAGAGACACUUGAAGACGCGGCAAUGGUCAAGAAGGUGAUGGACACAGUGCCGGAUCUCCUGCACGCGGCGGUGGCGGGCAUUGAACAAUUCUGCACCGUGGAAACCAUGCCGUUCGAGGAGGUGCUCGGCCGGCUCAAAGCGUUCGAGGAGCGCCUGCGGCGGUGCGGGCAGGCCGACGGCGAGCGGGCGGGUGGGCAGCUCAUGAUCACGGAGGAGCAUUGGCGUGCCCGGGAGCGCCAGCGCGACAACACACGGGACGACGACGAUCGGAGGAGCGAGGCGUCGGGCACCAGAGGAGGAUGGCGAGGUCGCUGCUACAACUGCGACCAAAGGGGGCAUUUCAAGCGCGACUGCACUCGUCCGAAGAAGGCGGCAGCGGCGGCGGAGUAG
rnacentral:rRNA from 1 species